GCUUCCUUCUCUGUGCUGGGGGUUUCUGCCUCCUCUGGCUCCGGUUCGCGCUUUCUCUUGAGUUGAGGCGCUGUAUCCGCCAUGCUGCCUGGGACGAACCCAACCCGCCUUCACGUAGGAGCCGCUGCCCACGCCCCCUUACGGCCCUUCCUUACAGCCUGUGAGGGACUGGACUUCAACUCCCGGCAUGCUUCGAGCGGGCAAGGCCUCUACUCCAUUUCACAGAGUGCUUCGAGUUGCAGUCCGUUUCUACAGGUUUUGCAUAUGUUUGGGGAAGGCCUGAGCCCGUAAGAUCACCUAAGCAGAAAGCCUGAUGACCUGAGUUCAAUCCCGAGAUCUUAUGCCCACAUGUUCUUGCCACUAUGAUGCCCCUCAUAAAGAGACUUGUACCAGAAAGGAAGCGUAGGUGUGGCCACCUGAUCUGGGACUGCAGUUUCCAAAUCUGAACUAAAUAAACGUUCUUACAAAGG
rnacentral:lncRNA from 1 species